GUAUAAGCUUCAUCCCUCAAGCGUUGAACCAUUUUCUUCAUUCUGCAAAAUCUUAACUACUACUCCAGUAAACAUCCAUCCAACACACAAAUUACACACAAUCAUCCACAGCAGACAUCAAAGAAGGUUAAGCUGUGAUGCAGAUGGAUGUCAGCAGAGCAAAGCUUUUGAUAUAUAAGUACUAAAUUAGGCUCAGGAUUCCAUGUCUUCAUACAUGUAAUCCAGUUAAGCUAUUCCGCUGCAACGCUUAGUGCGUUUUACUUUAUUGAUGUGUUGCAAAGAUUUCAAACUAAUAGCUUACAGAAUUAUGUCACUUGAUACUUAGACAACUUGUCGUUAUGUAUCGUGAGUUGUCUGCUUUUGAGUUUUAGAAAAGAUUGUUUAUGAUUACCAAA